rnacentral:rRNA from 1 species
GCUUGACCUCAAAUCAGGUAGGACUACCCGCUGAACUUAAGCAUAUCAAUAAGCGGAGGAAAAGAAACCAACAGGGAUUGCCUCAGUAACGGCGAGUGAAGCGGCAAAAGCUCAAAUUUGAAAUCUGAGGCUUUCAGCCCCCGAGUUGUAAUUUGAAGAUGGUGUUCUGGCGCCGGCGCCCUGUCUACGUUCCUUGGAACAGGACAUCGCAGAGGGUGAGAAUCCCGUCUGGCGGGGCGGCCUGGCUCCGUGUAGAGCGCCAUCGACGAGUCGAGUU